UUCCAGCUCCAAUAGCGUAUAUUAAUGUUGUUGCAGUUAAAAAGCUCGUAGUUGGAUUUCUGGUUGGACCGCGAUGCCGGACUCGCAAGGGUUCGUGAUUGUUGUGGUUUCCUUCCAUCCUCAGGUUUGCGCGUGCUGGCCUUAACUGGUCGGUGGGUGUGGUCCUGUCGUUUACUGUGAACAAAUUAGAGUGUUCAAAGCAAGGUGUACUUGAAUACAUUAGCAUGGAAUAAUAAGAUAGGACUUUGGUGGUCCUUUUUGAUAUUUUGUUGGUUUGCACGCCAAAGUAAUGAUUAAUAGGAGCAGUUGGGGGUAUUCGUAUUCAAUUGUCAGAGGUGAAAUUCUUGGAUUUAUAGAAGACGAACUACUGCGAAAGCAUUUACCAAGGAUGUUUUCAUCA
rnacentral:rRNA from 1 species